UACGGGGGAUGCAAGCGUUAUCCGGAAUGAUUGGGCGUAAAGCGUCUGUAGGUGGCUUCCCAAGUCAACUGUCAAAAAUCAGGGCUUAACCUUGAGUCGGCAGUUGAAACUAUGAAGCUUGAGUUAGGUAGGGGCAGAGGGAAUUCCUAGUGUAGCGGUGAAAUGCGUAGAUAUUAGGAAGAACACCAAUCGCGAAAGCACUCUGCUGGGCCAUGACUGACACUGAGAGACGAAAGCUAGGGGAGCGAAUGGG
rnacentral:rRNA from 1 species